GAAGUGGCAGGAUCAUCCGAUCUCUUUUAAGUACUGAUGACCAACUUUCUCGACUUUGUGCCUUUGAGGUCGAGCCAGAGGUUUAUGUGACACAUGAUGGUGGCACUUCCCAAUCGGAGCAAGAAGUUUAUCGACCUUCGAUCGAGAUACCGUAUGCAUCUACUUAUGAGCACCCUCCUCAGCCCACUUCAUUCGAGGAGCCCGUCUCAAACCACAUGAGAGGUUUUGAUUGGUUUGCUGAUAAUAAUGAUGAUGAAGAGUAUGUUCCAUCAACAAACACUGAUGAUGAUGAAGAUGAUGAUGAUGAAGAAGCAGAGGAGCGUGAGUCUGCUCGAGUUGAUUAUGGCACAUUUGCUGAGCAUAUUGCUUGGAUUCGUCGGGAGGGAGGAAUCGGGCAGCUUAUGUCCAUGAUAAUGCAGACAAACCCACAAAGGCUUGAAGAAGAGUUGGGACCCGAACAAACUGCAGAAAUGAGCAAUUGGCUAGUUCCGGUGGUUCUGAAGGAUUUUUCCAUGAAUUUAUUUGCAGGUAAACUUGACAACAUACNUAAUAAUAAUAAUAAUAAUAAAUAUAUACACACAAAAUAAUUAUAACAACAACAACAACAACAACAACAACAACAACAACAACAACAAACAACAAUAAUAAUAAUAAUAAUAAUAAUAAUAAUAAUAAUAAUAAUAAUAAUAAUAAUAAAUAAUAAUAAAUAAUAAUAAUAAUAAUAAUAAUAAGGAAUAAUAAUAAUAAGGAAUAAUAAUAAAUAAUAACAACAACAACAAUAACAAUAACAAUAAAAAUAAAAUAAUAAUAAUAAUAAUAAUAAUAAUAAUAAUAAUAAUAAUCAUAAUAACAACAACAACAACAACAACAAUAAAAAUAACAAUAAUAAUAAAAAAAUAAUAAGGAUAAUAACAAUAAGGAUAAUAACAAUAAUAAUAAUAAUAAUAAUAAUAAUAAUAAUAAUAAUAAUAAUAAUAUUUAGUUUAGGGGAGACUAAUUACAUAAUUAAUGGUGGAAUAAAGUGGGCCCAAUAGAUAAAAGUAUAGUAAAUUUAAAAGCAAGGGAGGGUAUAAUUGUCCAAAAAGCAGAGUAGGAGUUUAUUUCGUGGACAAAUAUUUAAGGGCAAGUAGGAGUUUAUUUCGUGGACGGAGGGAGUAGUAUUUGUGAUUAGGGGGAUUUGCAAAAGUACCCAACACUUAGCAAAUGUCUACAAUUUUUAACAACUUUUUCAAUCAUCUACAAGUUUUAAUCAUUUUUAUUUUUUAAUAUAUUUUGUCAUCACACAUCUACACAGUUAUUUGUAGUUGUCAGAAUUCUCCAAUAAUUGUUCACGCGUGAGUUGAAGCAGUGUACUAUGAUUCUCUAUCAUUUGUUCUCUUAUGAUUCUCCCAUCACGUUUUGUGCCUAAAAUACCAUCGACUGAUAUCAGUUUGAAAUACCGCGCAUAUCUAAUAUUACACGAAAAUAAUAUUUACAGAUUUAAAGGAUGCAAAAGAUACUUUACACCAUAGAAGAUGUUGUCUAAAAAACUUAAAAUACCGUCGGAACCAAUGAGAAUACCGCCAGUCGAUAUUCUCAAAUAUUCAGAUGGUAUAAGGAUUAUGACAAACGGUAUUUUCUUUUCUUAACGACGGUAUUCAAUUUAUUUCCAACGGUAUUCUAAGUAUGUUUGACGCCUUUUACUUUCACUUUCACGUGAAUAUAAAGUUCUUCCAAGUACACUCAUGUGAAUAUAAAGUUAUUCCUAGUACAUUUACGGGUGGGUAAAUUAAACACAAAGGCCUCCAUAUAUGUUGAAAGGAUGAAUUGAAUAUGACACACUACAAUAUAAACAAGUUGUCUCAAAGGCCUCCAUAUUUGUUGAGUUAUAAUUCUUCUUCUUGGAAGCUUUCGGGUUCUCAGCUGCCAUUUCAUUGGAAAGUCGGGAGAAAAAGAAAUUCCAUCGCAUAUCAUCUAUCAACUAAAGGUAAUUUUUACUUUUAUUUUAAAUACUGUCACAUAUUUCAUAAAUACCGUUAUGUAAUAGUUUAAUACCGUUGCAUAUUUAUCGUUCUAGUGUACAUAGAAAUUGUUGCUAAUAUUAGGUAUUUUUUGCUUGUGGAAAAUAUAUCUUCGAGUAAUAGCAUAUUACUGUCAUAUAAUAUGUAAAAUAUCGUCAUAUAAUAUGUAAAUACAUUCGCAUAUCUAUCAUGUUAGUGUCCAUGCAAUUUUAUUUUUAAUUAAGUGUUCUUUCAUUGUAUUGUAAAUACCUUCGCAUAGGAGAUAAAUACCUCCGUAAUUUUGAUGAAUAUCGUUGAAUACUUGAUUAAUACCAUCGCCUAAUAGUUUAAUAUCGUUGCAUAUUUAUCAUUGUAGUGUACAUAGAACUUGUUGUUAUUAUUAGGUGAUAUUUGAAUGUGGAAAACAUACCUUCGAUUAAUAAAUUAAUACCGUCGUCGAAUAUGUAAAUACCCUCGUCGAAAUGGUAAAUACCAUCGCUUACUCAUUUAAUACCGUCCGAUUUCUAUCAUGAUAGCGUCCAUGCAAUUGUGUCUGUAAUUAAGCGUUCUUUCAAAUGAUUUGUAAAUACCUUCGUGUAAUAUUUUAAUAUUUUCGCAUAUUCAUGAAUAAAGAUUUAAUUGAUGGGUUUUUCGUAAAUAAUUUGGUUUAGAGCGAUUAAUGAUUUGUGGUAUAAGCUAAUUUAUAGGAGAAUAUAUUAUUUGUAUUUUAAUUUAAUUUAUUCGUAAUUUACAGAUGACGGAGUGGAAAAAUGUCCUUGUGAGAAAUGGAGGAUAUUGGAAUGAUGUCUUAUAUUGUGGUGGAGGUGCUACAUUUGCUUAUGUUCAGACAAAUAACAUAAGCAUUUCGGAGUUAAGGCAAAAUAUCAAUUACUACUUGAUGGCAAAUUCAUUGAGUACCGUCUACAAUUUAUACUAUCUAUCGAGAUCUCGAAGUGGUAGGAUCAUCCGAUCUCCUGUAAGUACUGAUGACCAACUUUCUCGACUUUGUGCUUUUGAGGUCGAGCCAGAGGUUUAUGUGACACAUGAUGGUGGCACUUCCCAAUCGGAGCAAGAAGUUUAUCGACCUUCGAUCGAGAUACCGUAUGCAUCUACUUAUGAGCACCCUCCUCAGCCCACUUCAUUCGAGGAGCCCAUCUCAAACCACAUGAGAGGUUUUGAUUGGUUUG
rnacentral:lncRNA from 1 species